rnacentral:piRNA from 1 species
UGAAGACUAGCUCUCAGAUUCACACAG